UGGCACCCAAUGUCGGACAAGAGAACAGGGGAUUCCAUGAGCGACGUUAUUUGUGGGCUCAAAGUAGAAAAAGAAAAGGAAAUAGAGAACCUGAUGAUGUGGGAACCUGCCACGCCACAUUGAACCUCAGUAAGUAAAUAGCGAUAUGGGACAAGAAUUAGCCAAUAUGAGAUUUUUGUUGAAAAUUUAGUAAAAGAUUUAAAGGCAUGAGAAGUAAAGGUGAAUAUUAGCAAUUAUGCCAAUACUUCGAUUUUAUAAAAGAGGUUUGCCUUU
rfam:Cavia porcellus supercont2_9 genomic scaffold, whole genome shotgun sequence.